rnacentral:rRNA from 1 species
ACGGGAGGUAGCAGUCGGGAAUAUUGCGCAAUGGAGGAAACUCUGACGCAGUGACGCCGCGUAUAGGAAGAAGGUUUUCGGAUUGUAAACUAUUGUCGUUAGGGAAGAUAAAAGACAGUACCUAAGGAGGAAGCUCCGGCUAAAUACGUGCCAGCAGCCGCGGUAAUACGUAUGGAGCAAGCGUUAUCCGGAUUUACUGGGUGUAAAGGGAGCGUAGACGGCAAAGCAAGUCUGAAGUGAAAUCCCGGGGCUCAACCCUGGAACUGCUUUGGAAACUGUUUAGCUAGAGUGCAGGAGAGGUAAGUGGAAUUCCUAGUGUAGCGGUGAAAUGCGUAGAUAUUAGGAGGAACACCAGUGGCGAAGGCGGCUUACUGGACUGUAACUGACGUUGAGGCUCGAAAGCGUGGGGAGCAAACAGGAUUAGAUACCCUGGUA